rnacentral:rRNA from 1 species
GGAGCUAAUACCGAUAAUAUUUCGAACCGCAUGGUUCGGUAGUGAAAGAUGGUUUUGCUAUCACUUAUAGAUGGACCUGCGCCGUAUUAGCUAGUUGGUAAGGUAACGGCUUACCAAGGCGACGAUACGUAGCCGACCUGAGAGGGUGAUCGGCCACACUGGAACUGAGACACGGUCCAGACUCCUACGGGGAGGGCAGCAGCU